GACAGAGGGUGCAAACGUUGUUCGGAAUUACUGGGCGUAAAGCGUGUGUAGGCGGCCGCGCAAGUCGGAUGUGAAAGCCCCGGGCUCAACCCGGGAAGUGCAUCCGAAACUGCGUGGCUUGAGUACCGGAGAGGUUGGUGGAAUUCUCGGUGUAGAGGUGAAAUUCGUAGAUAUCGAGAGGAACACCGGUGGCGAAGGCGGCCAACUGGACGAGUACUGACGCUGAGACACGAAAGCGUGGGGAGCAAACAGG
rnacentral:rRNA from 1 species